rnacentral:rRNA from 1 species
UACGUAGGGUGCAAGCGUUAAUCGGAAUACUGGGCGUAAAGCGUGCGCAGGCGGUGAUGUAAGACAGGUGUGAAAUCCCCGGGCUUAACCUGGGAACUGCAUUUGUGACUGCAUCGCUGGAGUGCGGCAGAGGGGGAUGGAAUUCCGCGUGUAGCAGUGAAAUGCGUAGAUAUGCGGAGGAACACCGAUGGCGAAGGCAAUCCCCCUGGGCCUGCACUGACGCUCAUGCACGAAAGCGUGGGGAGCAAACAGG